CUGAGGGAAGUCUGUCUGUAAUAUUUGUCACAACACUGAUGGCCAGGGUUGAUUCAGCUGAUCUGGCCAGCUAGGUUGGUGUCCCCUUGGUCCCUCACCACUCUUUGUACAUCCCUCCUGAAGCUGUAUGCUUGGUCAAAGAGGACAACCUUCUGCAAUAAAGAUGUACUGUUCAUCAGUCAAGAAUAUAUGGUAGUUAUGAUCUGUCCAAACAAGCUUCACAGAUUACCAUUAGAAAAGAGUACAUAUCAUGACUUUACUAAGCAAUGCUGUAGUUUCA
rnacentral:snRNA from 1 species